GUAGCUGCGGCCGCCACACCGGAGCGGAGUUGGAGAAUCCGCGGCCGAAGUGGAGGAGCAGAGCAGGAGAAAAUCCUGGGCACGGAAGCUGCAAGGGGCGACGGUUUAGGUACCUGGCGCUGCCACCUAUUCCUGUUUUUCUUCAUUAGCUGGCCACUGGAUCUGUGGUGGGCGAGGUUUGGCGGUCUUGUUCGUUGCCAUGGAAGACGGCGGAGGAGGAAGAAACAGAGGGCGUGAGAGAGUGGUGAUAGAGAGCGCUUUGUUGGCCAUGGCGGGCCACGCAGCGGCCACACCAGCUCGCGCUCUGGCGAAAGGGUGCCCAAGCGUGGGAAAGGAGGGCGGCGACUCGGCAUGGGCGGCUGUUCGGUGCUUUGCUAUUGCAAAGCUUGGUCAAAACGGAGCUCUAAGGUGGAACCGGAUCAAGGAUUGAAUAUCUUACUCUCUUGUCUUGGCAGCACUACAAUACCGAAGAUAUCUGAUUUCGUCCUGUCCAGGUGAUAAUGGUCCAACCAAGAAAGAAAAUGUUCAGUUAGCGAGAAAUGGUGCAAUUGUUCUGGCCUCGUCCUGCAACUACAGUCUGCAAUGAAAAUAGGCCGUAAAACGCUUGCUCUGCUAUGACG